rnacentral:rRNA from 1 species
GGGUGAGUAAUGCGUAGGAAUCUGCCUAGUAAUGGGGGAUAACCUAGGGAAACUUAGGCUAAUACCGCAUAAGCCCUAAGGGGGAAAGCAGGGGAUCGUAAGACCUUGCGUUAUUAGAUGAGCCUACGUCGGAUUAGCUAGUUGGUGGGGUAAAGGCCUACCAAGGCGAUGAUCCGUAGCUGGUCUGAGAGGACGACCAGCCACACUGGGACUGAGACACGGCCCAGACUCC